rnacentral:rRNA from 1 species
CCCUUAGAUGUUCUGGGCCGCACGCGCGCUACACUGUUCGACGCAGCGAGUCUUAACCUUGACCGAAAGGUUUGGGUAAUCUUCAGCAAAGUCGAACGUGAUGGGGAUCGAUCAUUGCAAUUAUUGAUCGUGAACGAGGAAUUCCUAGUAAGUGCAAGUCAUCAGCUUGCGCUGAUUACGUCCCUGCCCUUUGUACACACCGCCCGUCGCUACUACCGAUUAAAUGGUUUAGUGAGAUCUCUGGAUUGACGCUGGCUAGGGGGCGACCCUUGGCCAGACUGUUGAGAAACUGCUCAAACUUGAUCAUUUAGAGGAAGUAAAAGUCGUAACA